UACGAAGGGUGCUAGCGUUGUUCGGAAUCACUGGGCGUAAAGCGCGCGUAGGCGGCUUUCCAAGUCAGGGGUGAAAUCCUGGGGCUUAACCCCAGAAUUGCCUUUGAAACUGGAGAGCUAGAGUACUGGAGGGGUUGGCGGAAUUCCUAAUGUAGAGGUGAAAUUCGUAGAUAUUAGGGGGAACACCGGUGGCGAAGGCGGCCAACUGGACAGUAACUGACGCUCUGGCGCGAGAGUGGUGAUCAACAGAGUUA
rnacentral:rRNA from 1 species